rnacentral:rRNA from 1 species
UACGUAGGCAGCAAGCGUUGUUCGGAAUUACUGGGCGUAAAGAGUGUGUAGGCGGUGUUCUAAGUCUGUUGUGAAAUCUCCCGGCUUGAACUGGGAGGGUGCGGCGGAGACUGGAAUGCUAGAGUGUGGGAGAGGUAAGCGGAAUUCCUGGUGUAGCGGUGAAAUGCGUAGAUAUCAGGAGGAACACCUGUGGUGUAGACAGCUUACUGGACCACGACUGACGCUGAGACACGAAAGCGUGGGUAGCAAACAGG